UACGUAGGGGGCUAGCGUUGUCCGGAUUUAUUGGGCGUAAAGAGCGUGUAGGCGGCCAGACAGGUCAGCUGUGAAAACUCGAGGCUCAACCUCGAGACGUCGGUUGAAACCGUCUGGCUAGAGUCCGGAAGAGGAGAGUGGAAUUCCCGGUGUAGCGGUGAAAUGCGCAGAUAUCGGGAAGAACACCCGUGGCGAAGGCGGCUCUCUGGGACGGUACUGACGCUGAGACGCGAAAGCGUGGGGAGCAAACAGG
rnacentral:rRNA from 1 species